GAUCAGGAGGAGGAGAAAAUGGGUGUAAACCCUAGUUCACAAGCAAGCUUCAAAUUGACAAGGAGAUUAGGCUCAAAUCCGAUGCAUGAACUCGUUUUCUUGACAAUCUAUCCCUAGCAAGCAUGUGGAGUCAUGUCAAGACGGACUCAAGCAUGAAAGGCUAACGGGUCAAGAGGAGGCAAGGAAUCGGAUACGAACCCGGAUGCACAAGGUAGUACGAGUCAUGAGGAUCAUCAAGGAACAGAGAUCGAGGA